rnacentral:tRNA from 1 species
GAAGUAGUAAUUUAUAAGAAUAUUUAAUUUGCACUUAAAAAGAACACUAGUCUACUUUA